rnacentral:rRNA from 1 species
UACGUAGGUGGCAAGCGUUGUCCGGAUUUAUUGGGUUUAAAGGGUGCGUAGGCGGUCUAGUAAGUCAGCGGUGAAAUACUCCAGCUUAACUGGAGGGGUGCCAUUGAUACUGAUGGACUUGAGUCAAGUCGAGGUAGGCGGAAUUGACGGUGUAGCGGUGAAAUGCUUAGAUAUCGUCAAGAACACCAAUAGUGAAGACAGCUUACUGGGCUUAAACUGACGCUGAGGCACGAAAGUGUGGGGAGCAAACAGG